UACAGAGGUCCCAAGCGUUGUUCGGAUUCAUUGGGCGUAAAGGGUGUGUAGGUGGCGCCGUAAGUCGGGUGUGAAAUCUCGGGGCUUAACUCCGAAACUGCAUUCGAUACUGCGGUGCUUGAGGACUGGAGAGGAGACUGGAAUUCAUGGUGUAGCAGUGAAAUGCGUAGAUAUCAAGUGGAACACCAGUGGCGAAGGCGAGUCCCUGGACAACUCCUGACACUGAGGCACGAAAGCUAGGGGAGCAAACAGG
rnacentral:rRNA from 1 species